UCGAAACGUUGAGGUCUAAUUUAUUAAG
rnacentral:sRNA from 1 species